AACUGGUCCUAGUGCCAUGGUGUUUACCACUAAUUUAUCACAACCAGUUACAGGGUUUCUUUGUUCCUUCUCCAUCCCCACUACUUCACUUGACUAGCCUUUA
rnacentral:Y_RNA from 1 species